UUUUCUCCAAUAUCGUGCAGCCCUAACGUACAUAUGACCAUUAGUACACACUGAAACAAGCUGUGUGACGAGAAGUUGGAUUUGCAUGACUGCACAGUUAGUGGGUCAAGCAGGCCUAAUGCACAUGUAAACACACAGACACACACAGGAAGACAGCACUACAUGCACGGCUUUUAAGCUCCCAGAUGUUUGAAACAUGAGUCUUUUUAUGAGCAGCACAGGGAGCCUUUAGUGAGGUGUGUACGUGUUCUCCGAUGUGGUGUACAUGCACGUUCAAAAGUUCAACUUCAAAGAGUCACUUCAACUCUUAAUUGUAUGUGUGUGUGCACAUGAGGAAGGGCUGAUCACAUUCAAUAAAGCAUAUUUUCUGUCAUUCUGAAACCUUCUGCUGUCUUUGUGUGUCAGUUUCUCACACAUGAACACAGAUACAUUCCAAUAAAUGCAGAUUCGGUAACUUGCAGGCAGAACUGCUUUUACGUGUUUUGCAGAAAUAUCAAGAUUAGACUGAAAUCAUCUGAGAUUUGAUCAGCUCGUCAGAAUAAGUUGUAUAGAAAAGCUGAUACUGAUUAUUAGUUAUCAAGGAGAAGAUACUAAAUGUUUAGAUCUGAUUUGAAAUAAAACUGAAAAACUCAACUUUUUGAUUAAGUACAACACAAAGUUUUGUUGAAACAAUAUUAAGGCGCCUCUUAAAUCAAAUUAAGUAGAAUUCAGUUACAGUUCAACAAAAUGUAUUGUCUGUUUUCUUAGUGAACUGGAGGGAUUAUGAAUAACAGAGUAAAUAAAAGACUCCCAUCUCUGUGUUACUCCAAAUGUAUAAACCAUCAGAUAUGGGAUCACAGAGUGGUGACUGUUGUAUUCAAGCAGAUAUUUGAUUGCAUUUAUUUUAUUGCACAUAAAGGAGACAUUGUUUGGAAAUUCAUCAGGGCAGCAGACUUUGCUCUACUUUUGCAACCUCAUGACACAAA